rnacentral:rRNA from 1 species
UACGGAGGGAGCUAGCGUUGUUCGGAAUUACUGGGCGUAAAGCGCACGUAGGCGGUUAUUCAAGUCAGAGGUGAAAGCCCGGGGCUUAACCCGGGAACUGCCUUUGAAACUAGAAGACUGGAAUCUUGGAGAGGGCAGUGGAAUUCCGAGUGUAGAGGUGAAAUUCGUAGAUAUUCGGAAGAACACCAGUGGCGAAGGCGGCUGACUGGACAAGGAUUGACGCUGAGGUGCGAAAGCGUGGGGAGCAAACAGG